GUGAAACCACCGGUUCACAAACCACCAAAACCAUGUCCACCACCCAAGUCAUCUCCAAAACCACCCCAUGUACACCCUCCCUAUGUUCCAAAACCUCCUCACUACCCUAAACCACCAGUUCAUCCACAUCCACCCCAUGUCCCAAAACCUCAUCCAAAGCCUCCAGUGCAUCCCCAUCCACCUUAUGUCCCAAAACCACCAGUUGUGCCAGUUACACCACCAUAUGUUCCAAAACCACCAAUUGUGAACCCUCCCUAUGUCCCAAAACCGCCUGUUGUGCCAGUUACACCACCUUAUAUCCCUAAACCACCAGUUGUGACACCACCAUAUGUCCCUAAACCACCAGUGGUGCCAGUUACACCACCAUAUGUCCCUAAACCACCAGUGGUGCCAGUUACACCACCUUAUGUGCCAAAACCACCCAUUGUGAAACCACCAAUUGUUUAUCCACCAGUUGUGCCAAAACCACCAAUUGUUACACCACCUUAUGUGCCAAAACCACCCAUUGUGAAACCACCAAUUGUUUAUCCACCAGUUGUGCCAAAACCACCAAUUGUUACACCACCUUAUGUGCCAAAACCACCCAUUGUGAAACCACCAAUUGUUUAUCCACCAGUUGUGCCAACACCACCUAUUGUGUAUCCACCUGUUGUACCAACUCCAC
rnacentral:lncRNA from 1 species